rnacentral:lncRNA from 1 species
UCAAAUCAAUAAGAAAAAGUGGCUGCAGUUACAAAUAAGUUACAGUCACCUACAUACAAUGGGAUGAGGCUCUGGGGGACUUCAGGAGGCAGUGAGUAUAUUGUGCAUGUGGAAUGUGAAUCACGGGGGUCAGAAGGUAGACUGGGGUAGGCAGCCCCCAGAUGGCUCCCAGUGACAGCAGCCUCCUCUUAUUCUUGUUCUUGUAUAAUUCCCUCACAUUGAUUGUGGCCUGGAUCUAGUGACUCGCUUCUAACAAAUAGAAUGCCAGAAAGGUGAGUCACUUCUGAGAUUAGGUUAUAAAAAUAGGGUGAAGUCUAUCUUGCUCUCUUGCUUGCUUAUUCUGAGGGGGGCCAGCUGCCUUGUUGUAAGCACCCCACGGACAAGCCCUAUGUGGCAAAGAACUGAGAGUGGCCUCUGGCCAACAGCUAGUGAAGAACUGAGGCUGAAUCUAACAACCCAUGAGGACUUGAAUCCUGCCAACAACCACGUGAGUGAGCUUGAAAACAGAUGAAGCCUUCAGAUGACUGCAGGCUCAGCCAACACCUUAAUUGCAUCCUGUGAGUGACCCAGCUAAGCACUCCCAGAUUCCUGACCCACCUGUGAGACAAUGUUAAGUCAAGUUUUGGAGCAUGUUUAGUUUCCCUCUGGGCCCCACUGACAGUAACUUGGCAAAACUGAAGUACUGACUCACAUGGUCUUAUUGCAAAUGGUGGGCUGGAAGUUCAGCUCUCCUAUUGCUCCACUGACAACAUCCCAGUGAAAGUGUGGCACCAUCUUCGACCACCUUGAUGCCUCUGAUUGGGGAUGUAAGCUUGUCUCCUUGCUCAAUCUGCUGGGGGAACUGGAGCAUUGUCUGCUUCUAUAAGGUAGGGAAUAAAAGGUCAGCUCCCAGACAGACCUACCAAAGUCACCCACAGGGAACUGGAGAGCUGCCUCCCACUUCCAUAGGUUAAGGGGUAGAGUGGAAUAUCAACUUCCUGGUUGGCUCUGCUGAAACUGUGCUGGGGGUUGAGGUUUGGGGAAUGCAGUUGUUCCAUCAGUGUUUGGUUGGACUAGGGAAGAAGCUGAUGAGGUUUUUCAUUGUUGGGCCACACUUUUUUCUAUUCUUUGACUCAGGAAAACAGGCUUUCCAUUGGUCUUUGUUUUGUCUGUGCCUAUUCAUGGUGCAGGGCUGCAGAAUUCUGUAGUGCCUUGUCCGACAUUUAGGAGGAAAUGAGGAAACUAGGGAAUUUACCACAUGUCAUUCCUCAAGUCUUGGGAUCCCUAGGCAGUCUGACUUCUUUCCAACUUUCAAAGUCUUCCUAUGCUUGUUUUUUGUGUUAUAUCCAGGUUUUUCUGAGAGGGCCUAGGAAAAAUGGGACUACUCUAUCUUGGUGGAACCAGAAGUCUCAAAAGGCCAUUUUUAUUUUAUUUUAUUUUUUGAAACAGGGUGUGGCUCUGUUGCCUAGGCUGGAAUGCAGUGUUGUGAUUUAGGCUGACUGCAACCUCUACCUCCUGGGCUCAAGCUAUCCUUCUACCUCAGCCUCCCAAGUAGCUGGGACUACAGGCACAUGCCACCAUGCCCUGCUAAUUUUUUAUAUUUUUUGUAGAGAUGGCGUUUCGCCGUGGUGCCCAGGCUGGUCUUGAACUCCUCGGUUCAAGCAAUCUCCCCACCUUGGCCUCCCAAACUGCUGGGAUUACAGGUGUGAGCCACAGUGCCUGGCCUCAAAAGGCCAUUUUUAAACACUUGCUUUAGUUUACCGCCUAGAGUCUCCUCCAGGUUGUCAAAAGCCAUGAAUCGUGUACUUUAUCAAUUUACAACCCAAACCUUACCCUGCACAGAUGCAUAAGAUAUAUAAACAGGCUGAAUCAAAUACAUAGGAAGACUUCCAGUUUCCAGUUUAUGUAAGGAGUUUGGAAGUCAUCACUCCAUUCUAACCACAAGCAAAAACUGAACAAACUCUUCUUAGAUUUUGUUUUGAGACAGGGUGUCUUUUUGCCUAAGCUGAGUGCGGGGGCACAAUCAUGGCUUACUACAGCCUCGACCUCCUGGGCUCAAGUUAUCCUCCUGCCUCAGCCUCCUGCAUAGCUGGGACUAUAGGCGCACAUCACCUUGCCUGGCUCAUUUUUUGUAGAGGUGUUUUCCACCAUAUUGCUGAGGCCAGUAUUCUUAGAUUCUUCACAGACGUGAGGUCACAGGGCAAACUGCUGCCUCCUAAGCUGGGGGGUCAGAUAAGCAGAUACAGAGAAUUGCAACAUGCUGGAGCAUCAUCUCAGAAACAGAAAUCUCUGAGUGAAGCAGUACUCAUGAGGAAAACCUAAACUGUAAUUGAAGAAAUGCUGAGACUCACAGUGGACAAGUCUGAGAGUUAAAAACCCUAGGAUGGGGCAGUGGGGC